ACAGCAGCCGCCGCGGGAAUACGUAGGUGGCAAGCGUUGUCCGGAAUUAUUGGGCGUAAAGCGCGCGCAGGCGGAUAGGUCAGUCUGUCUUAAAAGUUCGGGGCUUAACCCCGUGAUGAGAUGGAAACUGCCAAUCUAGAGUAUCGGAGAGGAAAGUGGAAUUCCUAGUGUAGCGGUGAAAUGCGUAGAUAUUAGGAAGAACACCAGUGGCGAAGGCGACUUUCUGGACGAAAACUGACGCUGAGGCGCGAAAGCCAGGGGAGCGAACGGGAUUAGAUACCCCGGUAGUCCCUGUCUCUUAUACA
rnacentral:rRNA from 1 species